CCUACGGGUGGCAGCAGUGGGGAAUAUUGGGCAAUGGGCGCAAGCCUGACCCAGCAACGCCGCGUGAAGGAAGACGGCUCUCGGGUUGUAAACUUCUUUUAUCCGGGACGAAGCAAGUGACGGUACCUGCUGAAUAAGCCACGGCUAACUACGUGCCAGCAGCCGCGGUAAUACGUAGGUGGCAAGCGUUAUCCGGAUUUACUGGGUGUAAAGGGCUUGUAGGCGGGAAAGCAAGUCAGAUGUGAAAACCAUGGGCGCAAACUGUUGCCUGCAGUUGAAACUGUUUUUCUUGAGUACUGGAGAGGUAGACGGAAUGCGUAGUGGAGCGGUGAAAUGCGGAGAUAUUAGGAAGAACACCAGUGGCGAAGGCGGUAUGCUGGACAGCAACUGACGCUGAGGCGCGAAAGCGUGGGGAGCAAACAGGAUUAGAUACCCCGGUAGUC
rnacentral:rRNA from 1 species